rnacentral:snRNA from 1 species
GGAUGUGAGGGUGAUCUGGCUGUGACAUCUGUCACCCCAUUGAUUGCCAGGCUUGAUUUGGCUGAUCUGGCUGGCUAGGCAGGUGUCCCCUUCCUCCCUCACCGCUCCAUGUGCAUCCCUCCUGAAGCUGCGCACUCAGUUGAAGAGGAUGGCCUUCCCUGAAUAGAGACGGACUGGUCUUCGAUCUAGGGUAUACACAUAGCUGCGCUCCCCUGCUAGAACCUCCAAACAAGCUCUCAAGAAAAUUCAAGGAGAAAAAAAGGCUACCGCCUGAUUCCCCAAAAAGUUACUCUUAUAACACAACAGU